UACGUAGGUGGCAAGCGUUGUCCGGAAUUAUUGGGCGUAAAGCGCGCGCAGGCGGUCCUUUAAGUCUGAUGUGAAAGCCCACGGCUCAACCGUGGAGGGUCAUUGGAAACUGGGGGACUUGAGUGCGGAAGAGGAGAGUGGAAUUCCACGUGUAGCGGUGAAAUGCGUAGAGAUGUGGAGGAACACCAGUGGCGAAGGCGACUCUCUGGUCUGUAACUGACGCUGAGGCGCGAAAGCGUGGGGAGCAAACAGG
rnacentral:rRNA from 1 species